rnacentral:rRNA from 1 species
GGAAGUAAAAGUCGUAAACAAGGUUUCCGUAGGUGAACCUGCGGAAGGACCAUUACAGAAAUAGGAGAAGGUUGCUUAACUGCAAUCCUUUUCUUUCUACACAUGUGUUUCUCUUUUUUUUGAAAACUUUGCUUUGGUGGGCCCACGGCCUGCCAGAGAUUAAACUCAACCAAAUUUUUAUUUAAUUGUCAACUUGAUUAACUAAUAGUCAAAACUUUCAACAACGGAUCUCUUGGUUCUCGCAUCGAUGAAGAACGCAGCGAAAUGCGAUAAGUAAUAUGAAUUGCAGAUAUUCGUGAAUCAUCGAGUCUUUGAACGCACAUUGCGCCCUUUGGUAUUCCAAGGGGCAUGCCUGUUUGAGCGUCAUUUCUCCCUCAAACCUUCGGGUUUGGUGUUGAGCGAUACGCUGGGUUUGCUUGAAAGAAAGGCGGAGUAUAAACUAAUGGAUAGGUUUUUUUUCCACUCAUUGGUACAAACUCCAAACAUUCUUCCAAAUUCGACCUCAAAUCAGGUAGGACUACCCGCUGAACUUAAGCAUAUCAACAAGCGGAGGAAAAGAAACCAACAGGGAUUGCCUUAGUAAC